UACGGGGGGGGCAAGCGUUGUUCGGAAUUACUGGGCGUAAAGGGCUCGUAGGUGGCCAACUACGUCAGACGUGAAAUCCCCAGGCUCAACUUGGGAACUGCGUCUGAUACUGGCAGGCUUGAAUCCGGGAGAGGGAUGUGGAAUUCCAGGUGUAGCGGUGAAAUGCGUAGAUAUCUGGAGGAACACCGGUGGCGAAGGCGGCAUCCUGGACCGGUAUUGACGCUGAUGCGCGAAAGCCAGGGGAGCAAACGGG
rnacentral:rRNA from 1 species